UACGAAGGGGGCUAGCGUUGUUCGGAAUUACUGGGCGUAAAGCGCGUGUAGGCGGGUCUUUAAGUCAGGGGUGAAAUGCCAAGGCUCAACCUUGGAACUGCCUUUGAUACUGGAGACCUUGAGUCCGGGAGAGGUGAGUGGAAUUGCGAGUGUAGAGGUGAAAUUCGUAGAUAUUCGCAAGAACACCAGUGGCGAAGGCGGCUCACUGGCCCAUAACUGACGCUGAGGCACGAAAGCGUGGGGAGCAAACAGG
rnacentral:rRNA from 1 species